AUAACUUAGUGCGGGUUUCUUACACUGUCUUCCAAUGGUCUUUUGCUGCUAUAAGUAUGUGGUGGUAGGCAUCUUGAAGGUCCAGCUUAGUGAAUAUCUUGGCUUUUGAAAGUCUGUCAAGUAAUUCACUUAUUAGAGAUAAAGGGUAUCAAUUCUUGAUGAUGAUUUGAUUUAAUCCUCAAUAGUCUACACAAAGACAGAGUUCAUCAUCUUUUUUGAGAAUAAAGAGAAUUGAUGUAUCAGUUGAGUUACUGAACAGUUGUAUCUACUCUUUAUCUAAUAUAUUUUUUAAAUAUUCUCUUAGAGCA
rnacentral:sRNA from 1 species